rnacentral:rRNA from 1 species
AAUGAACGCUGGCGGCAGGCCUAACACAUGCAAGUCGAACGGAUCCUUCGGGAUUAGUGGCGGACGGGUGAGUAACGCGUGGGAACGUGCCCUUUGGUUCGGAAUAGCCUCGGGAAACUGGGAGUAAUACCGGAUAAGCCCUUCGGGGGAAAGAUUUAUCGCCAAAGGAUCGGCCCGCGUUGGAUUAGGUAGUUGGUGGGGUAAUGGCCUACCAAGCCGACGAUCCAUAGCUGGUUUGAGAGGAUGAUCAGCCACACUGGGACUGAGACACGGCCCAGACUCCUACGGGAGGCAGCAGUGGGGAAUCUUGGACAAUGGGCGCAAGCCUGAUCCAGCCAUGCCGCGUGAGUGAAGAAGGUCUUCGGAUUGUAAAGCUCUUUUGCCAGGGACGAUAAUGACGGUACCUGGAGAAUAAGCCCCGGCAAACUUCGUGCCAGCCGCCGCGGUAA